CCGCUCUUUGCUCUGCUUUUCUCACUUGCUAAGAAUAUACACACACCUGCUUUAGCUUCUUCUCCCCUGUAUCUUCAAACACAGAAAAAGAGACAGAGAUGGAGAAUGAAUCUAUGGUGAUAGAAGAAAGAGGAAUCCCAUCCAACGGUGGGAGAUACUUGCAGUAUAACAUAUUGGGUAAUCUUUUCGAAGUCACCUCCAAGUAUGUUCCUCCCAUACAACCAGUGGGUCGUGGCGCAUAUGGCAUCGUUUGUUGUGCCAGAAAUGCUGAGACAAAAGAAGAUGUUGCCAUUAAGAAGAUUGGGAAUGCAUUUGACAACGGGAUAGAUGCUAAGAGAACACUUCGAGAGAUCAAACUCCUUUGCCAUAUGGAUCAUGAGAAUAUUAUAAAAAUCAAGGAUAUAAUACCACCACCAGAGAGGGAAACAUUCAAUGAUGUGUAUGUCGUAUAUGAAUUGAUGGAUACUGAUCUCCAUCAGAUAAUACAGUCUAGCCAGGCCCUGACUGAUGAUCACUGUCAGUAUUUCUUGUAUCAAUUGUUGCGGGGACUGAAGUACAUACACUCUGCAAAUGUUUUGCACCGCGAUCUGAAACCAAGCAACCUUCUUCUGAAUGCAAAUUGUGAUCUUAAGAUUUGUGACUUUGGGCUUGCAAGAACCACCUCGGAGACAGAUUUCAUGACUGAAUAUGUAGUAACCAGAUGGUAUCGAGCCCCAGAAUUGCUGCUUAACUGUUCAGAAUACACUGCAGCUAUUGAUAUUUGGUCAGUUGGCUGCAUUUUCAUGGAAAUUAUUAGAAGGGAGCCUCUUUUCCCUGGCAAAGACUAUGUUCAGCAAUUGGGGCUUAUAACUGAGUUGCUAGGUUCACCAGAUGAUUCAGAUCUUGGAUUCCUUCGAAGUGAUAAUGCUCGGAGAUAUGUCAAGCAGCUUCCACGUGUCCCCAAGAGACCUUUUGCACAGAAUUUUCCAGAUGUGUCAGCAGUGGCUCUUGAUCUUGUAGAGAGAAUGCUAGAGUUUGAUCCAUGCAAACGCAUAACUGUUGAGGAGGCAUUGAAUCAUCCAUAUUUAUCAAGUCUUCAUGAAAUCAACGAAGAGCCUACUUGCCCAUCUCCUUUUAUUUUUGAUUUUGAGCAAAUUUCGUUAAAUGAAGAAGAUAUAAAGGAGCUCAUAUGGGCAGAGUCUAUGAACUUCAACCCAGAUGUCAUGCUUGAGUAAUAUCACCAACAUUUAUAUAAUUUUUUGCCCAUUGUUUGGUUGAUUGGUAUCCAUAUCAGAAGUGUGAUGAAAUUCUCUGUGACCAGAGAAAUUAGGGAGAUAGGUUCUCCCUUCCCAUAUUGUCAGGGUAGAAUGGCAGUUUGUGCAUGGUUUUAAUAUUGAGGAUUCUUGGAUUCAGUCUUUUGGAGAAUCCAGCACCCAAUAAGUUUGGUAUGCAUCAACAAGGCUAUAUAUUCUCCUAGCCUCUAUAUGUUUUUGGCUGUGGUUGGUUUGUAUAUUGUAUACUAAAUUCUAUCAAACAUGGAAGAAAAAUGAAAAGAAAGGAAACUGUUCUGAAGCAUUUUUGGUAUGUUCUUUGCU
rnacentral:misc_RNA from 1 species